UACAGAGGUCCCAAGCGUUGUUCGGAUUUACUGGGCGUAAAGGGUGCGUAGGCGGUGGGGUAAGUUUGAGGUGAAAGCUCCGGGCUCAACCCGGAAAAUGCCUUGAAAACUAUCCGGCUAGAGGGCUGGAGGGGAGACUGGAAUUCUCGGUGUAGCAGUGAAAUGCGUAGAUCUUGAGAGGAACACCAGUGGCGAAGGCGGGUCUCUGGACAACACCUGACGCUGAGGCACGAAAGCCAGGGGAGCAAACGGG
rnacentral:rRNA from 1 species